UACAGAGGUCCCAAGCGUUGUUCGGAUUCAUUGGGCGUAAAGGGUGCGUAGGUGGCGCCAUAAGUCAGGUGUGAAAUUUCGGAGCUUAACUCCGAAACUGCAUUCGAUACUGCCGUGCUUGAGGACUGGAGAGGAGACUGGAAUUUACGGUGUAGCGGUGAAAUGCGUAGAUAUCGUAAGGAAGACCAGUGGCGAAGGCGGGUCUCUGGACAGUUCCUGACGCUGAGGCACGAAGGCCAGGGGAGCAAACGGG
rnacentral:rRNA from 1 species